GAUGAAGAACGCAGCGAAAUGCGAUAAGUAAUGUGAAUUGCAGAAUUCAGUGAAUCAUCGAAUCUUUGAACGCACAUUGCGCCCGCCAGUAUUCUGGCGGGCAUGCCUGUUCGAGCGUCAUUUCAACCCUCAAGACCCCUUCGGGGGACUUGGUGUUGGGGACCGGCACAGGGGCCUGCCUGCUUGUCUUGCAGCGCCCUCGCCGCCCCCGAAAUGAAUUGGCGGCCUCGUCGCGGCCUCCCCUGCGUAGUAGCACAAACCUCGCAACGGGAACGUGACGGCGGCCACUGCCGUAAAACAACCCAAUUUUAUUAGAGUUGACCUCGUAUCAGGUAGGAAUACCCGCUGAACUUAAGCAUAUCAAUAAGCGGAGGA
rnacentral:misc_RNA from 1 species